CCGCCGCGCCCGGUCCCGGCUACAGCGGCCCCGCCCACAGAAGCACCGCCCCCGCGCCCUCCCAUUGGCUGAGCAGCCCCCUUGCUCCCUUCCCAUUGGCUCUCGCAGCGGACGCUCCUCCCCUCCCCUUCCUGCAGCGUCUUCCGGGUGGUGCCGCACCCCGGGCGCGGGAGAGGCUCGUGGAGGGCGGUGACUGGUGAGAGUGCACGUCAAUCAUGUGCAGAGCAGCCAAUAAAAAGGAAGACUGGGGAGAGGGCGGGCACUUUCGCCAUAUAAGGGCAAGGCGUCCGCGUUGCUACGCGACGGGCGCGUGGGGAGAGCUGAUUGUUCCCAUGUUUGUUUCCAUGGAAAAACGCCUUUUUUUCUGCUGGAUACAGAGUUGUUGUCACCCAUUCCAGGCCCUUCUGGAAAAAUACUCCUUAAUUCUGGCCUUAAGAGUGUCAGUAGCACCGUAACUUGGUGCUCCGCACCCACGGGAGACCAUGAAUAGGGAGAGACUGGAGACCAGGAAUGGGGAGAGAUUGGACAAAAGCUGAAGGAAAACAGAAUAUUUUAAGGAAUUGCAGCUAACUCCCCCAGAUUUCGGCAUCUAGCAAAGUCAUAAGGCAGUUUUCUACCAGAUGCUCACACAGCAAAUCAUCACCAAUAGGGAAAAAUAACCUGGUUUGUCAGAAAUAAAUUGGGGCAAUUUGAACUGUAUUUCAGAGGAGGCUGAGGGGAGACUCAUCAGGGUCUGGCAGCUUCUCAGGGACAGGGUGGGACUGUUGUGGUGUCCUGGGCAGGGCCGGGAGUUGGACUGGAUGAUCCCUGUGGGUCCCUUCCAACUCAGGAUAUUCCAAGAAAGUAAACCUUUCAGAGCACGUCGUUUCCGUGGUCUCUUUGCCUGGUGCACUUCCAACGAUGAGGACAAGCUACCUUUGAGUCCAAAUAAUCAAGGAACACUCUGCCUGUGCUCAGUUUCAGUGGGAAAGGCAGGAUCCCUCUCUGGGAGCUGGGGCUCUCUCGGAUGUUCACUGAUUUUACUGGGACUGACAAAAGCAGCUGGAUGGACUCGGCUCAACCAACAUCCCAAACACAGCCUGACAGCACCUCAGCUCUGAGAUCUCCACAGCAAAUGGAGCCCAGGGCCAUCCCUGCAGCACUGAGUUCCUGCCAAUUCCAGCCAUUCUGAGCCUGCCAGAGCCUGGAAGUGCUGGGAGGGAACUUUGGGGAUAAUCAGCAUUUCAAGGAUGAGCAAAUCUCUCUUUGCUCCCAGAGGAAGCGUCGUGUGUUUUCCUCAGGCACCUAAAUACAAUUAGGGAAUAAUUACAGAGCUGUUGAUGUGUUUUCCUGUCAAAAAGGGGGAGAAACACACUUAGAAUCUGUUCCCCAAUUAAAUCUGAUCCAACAGAAGGGAACAACAGGGACAUCCAGGAGUGCCUGGUGUCUCAUCCCAGCUUUGAUGCCUCUUUGGUACCCUUGGAAUGGUCCAGGCUGAGGUAGAAGCCAAUCCCUUGGGAAUGCCGAUGGCACUGUGAAUCCUUGGCAUUUCCACAGCUUUUCUUAGCAUGGAUCUAGGCCAGCUCAAGGGAUUCCAUAGCCAGCACAUCCUACACCAGAGUUAUUUUUGAUUUUAUCAGGGACAGGGAAGGGAGAUCCCAAUGGCAGGAAGGAGAAGGGCUGUGAAACGCUGGAUCUGCAGCCUGGAUUGUCCCACUGGGUCACAUGGAUGCACCAAAGGGAUUCCAUCUGGAGCCUGAACCUCCAAGGGGAAUUUGCAUUGGAAGCAGCAUUCCAGAGGCAUGCUGGAAGUGUUACCAUGGGAGAAAGUGUGUGCCAGAGGAGCAGUGGGAUCAGGACAGCCUGGCAGAGAAGGGUGGAGACCUCUCUUGCAGCAGCCACCCUUUUGGGAGACCCCUUCAUCUCUCGGAUCUCACCCCUGCAGCCUUCCAGGCCAAGUUCCAGGUCUUCCCUCCCUCCUUGGACUUCCUUCUGUGCCUGGUGCUCAUCUCCAGGGGCUGCAAUUCCAGCUGUUUGUGGAUAAGAUCAGCUCUUGCCAGGUGUUUCCCUGAGACUCCUCUGCCAUCAGAGUUUGGUGUUCCAUCAGCCUUGGGCAGCUUGACUUCCCAGAGCAUGAGCCUGCUCCCAGCCAGCUUCUGCAGAGCCCAAACUUCCCUGUGUUCAAUUUCUUGUUAUUGCAUUUAGUCUCUGGUGACUCCCGAGCUGACAGCUGGUAAAGAUGGCAUGAAACUGA